AUUUACCGUGAUAGAGAAUUCUAAUAGUGGUAUGGUGGUGGAGGGGAUUUGUAGAGGUAAGGAUGGUGUGGAGGAGAGUGAUGAACUGGAGGGGGAGAGUAGUGUUUAACUGGUGGUGGUGGAGAUUUGUAAACGUAGUGUUUCUUUGGUGGGGGUGGGGAAUGGUAAACUGGGGGAGGAGAGUAGUGCUUAACCGGUGGUGGUGGAGAUUUGUAAACGUAGUGUUUCUUUGGUGGGGGUGGAGAAUGGUAAACUGGAGGGGGAGAAUAGUGCUUCACCGGAGGAGGAGGAGACUUGUAAACGUAAUGUUUCUUGGGUGGGGGUGGAGAGUGAUAAACCGGUGGGGGAGAGUAGUGCUUAACCGGAGGAGGUGGUGAUUUGUAGACGUAGUGUUUCUUUGGUGGUGGUGGGGAAUGGUAAACUGGGGGAGGAGAGUAAUGUUUGACCGGAGGAGGAGGAGAUUUGUAGACGUAGUGUUUCUUUGGUGGUGGUGGAGAAUGGUAAACUGGAGGGGGAGAGUAGUGCUUAACCGGAGGAGGAGGUGAUUUGUACACGUAGUGUUUCUUGGGUGGUGGUGGAGAGUGAUAAACCGGUGGGGGAGAGUAGUGUUUGACUGGAGGAGGAGGUGACUUGUACACGUAGUGUUUCUUUGGUGGGGGUGGAGAGUGAUAAACUGGUGGGGGAGAGUAGUGUUUAACCGGAGGAGGGGGAGACUUGUACACGUAGUGUUUCUUGGGUGGGGGUGGAGAAUGGUAAACCGGUGGAGGUGAGUAGUGUUUAACCGGUGGAGGAGAAUAGUGUUUGACCGGAGGAGAAUAGUGUUUAACAGGCGGUGGUGGAGAAGAAUAGAAAUAGUUAGCGGUAGAUUGAGAUACAAAGGUGAGAGAGAUUGUUAAGACAAGCAAAGCUGCCACUAAAGAGGC
rnacentral:lncRNA from 1 species